rnacentral:rRNA from 1 species
UACGAAGGGGGCUAGCGUUGCUCGGAAUUACUGGGCGUAAAGCGCACGUAGGCGGCUUCUUAAGUCGGUGGUGAAAUCCUGGAGCUCAACUCCAGAACUGCCUUCGAUACUGGGAAGCUCGAGUCCGGGAGAGGUGAGUGGAACGUGCGAGUGUAGAGGUGAAAUUCGUAGAUAGUUAGGAGGAACACCGGUGGCGAAGGCGGCUACCUGGACCGAUAUUGACGCUGAGACGCGAAAGCGUGG